GAUGAACGCUAGCGGCAGGCUUAACACAUGCAAGUCGAGGGGUAUAUGUCUUCGGAUAUAGAGACCGGCGCACGGGUGCGUAACGCGUAUGCAAUCUACCUUUUACAGGGGAAUAGCCCCAGAGAAAUUUGGAUUAAUGCCCCAUAGUAUAAUUGAAUGGCAUCAUUUAAUUAUUAAAGUCACAACGGUAAAAGAUGAGCAUGCGUCCCAUUAGUUAGUUGGUAAGGUAACGGCUUACCAAGACAAUGAUGGGUAGGGGUCCCUGAGAGGGAGAUCCCCCACACUGGUACUGAGACACGGACCAGACUCCUACGGGAGGCAGCAGUGAGGAAUAUUGGACAAUGGGCGCAAGCCUGAUCCAGCCAUGCCGCGUGCAGGAAGACGGUCCUAUGGAUUGUAAACUGCUUUUAUACAGGAAGAAACACUCCGACGUGUCGGAGCUUGACGGUACUGUAGGAAUAAGGAUCGGCUAACUCCGUGCCAGCAGCCGCGGUAA
rnacentral:rRNA from 1 species